rnacentral:rRNA from 1 species
GGGGAAUAUUGGACAAUGGGCGCAAGCCUGAUCCAGCCAUGCCGCGUGAGUGAUGAAGGCCCUAGGGUUGUAAAGCUCUUUCACCGGUGAAGAUAAUGACGGUAACCGGAGAAGAAGCCCCGGCUAACUUCGUGCCAGCAGCCGCGGUAAUACGAAGGGGGCUAGCGUUGUUCGGAAUUACUGGGCGUAAAGCGCACGUAGGCGGAUCGGUCAGUUAGGGGUGAAAUCCCGGGGCUCAACCCCGGAACUGCCUUUAAUACUGCCGGUCUUGAGUCCGAGAGAGGUGAGUGGAAUUCCGAGUGUAGAGGUGAAAUUCGUAGAUAUUCGGAGGAACACCAGUGGCGAAGGCGGCUCACUGGCUCGGUACUGACGCUGAGGUGCGAAAGCGUGGGGAGCAAGC